ACUGCAUGAUGUGGACAUUUAUGGAUGAGGUCCUUGAGUCUUUCCCAUAUUUCAUGGAACAACUCACCAUCCAUUUGGGAAAAUCUUGUGAUGGCUUUCCCAAU